rnacentral:rRNA from 1 species
AGAAGUUUGAUCCUGGCUCAGGACGAACGCUGGCAGCAUGCCUAAUACAUGCAAGUCGAGCGCAGGAAGCUUUCUGAAGCCUUCGGGUGGACGAAAGUGGAAUGAGCGGCGGACGGGUGAGUAACACGUGGGCAACCUGCCCUGCAGACCGGGACAACCUCGUGAAAACGAGGCUAAUACCGGAUGACCACUGGCACCGCAUGGUGCCAAUGUAAAAGAGGGGAUUCGUCCUCUCACUGCAGGAUGGGCCCGCGGCGCAUUAGCUAGUUGGUGAGGUAAGGGCUCACCAAGGCGACGAUGCGUAGCCGACCUGAGAGGGUGAUCGGCCACACUGGGACUGAGACACGGCCCAGACUCCUACGGGAGGCAGCAGUAGGGAAUCAUCCGCAAUGGGCGAAAGCCUGACGGUGCAAUGCCGCGUGAACGAUGAAGGUUCUCGGAUCGUAAAGUUCUGUUAUGAGGGAGGAACAAGUGCCGUUUGAAUAAGGCGGCACCUUGACGGUACCUCACGAGAAAGCCCCGGCUAACUACGUGCCAGCAGCCGCGGUGAUACGUAGGGGGCAAGCGUUGUCCGGAAUUA